UCCCUAGUGGUCCAGUGGCUAAGACCCCUGCCCCCAAUGCAGGGGGUCUGGGUUCAAUCCCCAGAUAGGGAA
rnacentral:tRNA from 1 species